rnacentral:rRNA from 1 species
GACGAACGCUGGCGGCGUGCUUAACACAUGCAAGUCGAACGGAAAGGCCUGCUUUCCCUUGUGGAUUGCGGGUACUCGCGUGGCGAACGGGUGAGUAACACGUGAGUGAUCUGCCCCCAACUUGGGUAUAAGCCUGGGAAACUGGGUCUAAUUCCCGAUAGGACUGCAGGGUGGUGCCUGUGGUGGAAAACGAUUUUCUAGUGGUUGGGGAUGAGCUCGCGGCCUAUCAGCUUGUUGGUGGGGUAAUGGCCUACCAAGGCGGCGACGGGUAGCCGGCCUGAGAGGGUGGACGGCCACAUUGGGACUGAGAUACGGCCCAGACUCCUACGGGAGGCAGCAGUGGGGAAUAUUGCACAAUGGGCGGAAGCCUGAUGCAGCGACGCCGCGUGGGGGAUGACGGCCUUCGGGUUGUAAACUCCUUUCGACCGCGAGGAAGCCACCUGGUUGGAAGGGUGGUGACGGUAGUGGUAGAAGAAGCACCGGCUAACUACGUG